UACGUCGGGGGCAAGCGUUGUCCGGAAUCAUUGGGCGUAAAGAGCGUGUAGGCGGCCCGAUAAGUCCGCUGUGAAAGUCCAGGGCUCAACCCUGGGAUGCCGGUGGAUACUGUCGGGCUCGAGUCCGGAAGAGGAGUGUGGAAUUCCCAGUGUAGAGGUGAAAUUCGUAGAUAUUGGGAAGAACACCGGUGGCGAAGGCGGCUCUCUGGACCGAUACUGACGCUGAGGCGCGAAAGCUAGGGGAGCAAACGGG
rnacentral:rRNA from 1 species